AUUAAAGGUCUAACCUGCCCACUGAAAAAUUUUUAAUGGCCGCAGUAAAUUGACUGUGCAAAGGUAGCAUAAUCAAUAGUUUUUUAAUUAAAAGCUUGUAUGAAUGGUUGGACGAGAUAAAAUCUGUCUUUAAUUAAAAAAUAGAAUUUAAUUUUUAAGUUAAAAAGCUUAAAUUUUAUUAAAAGACGAGAAGACCCUAUAGAUCUUUAUAAUAUAUUAUUUAUUUUUAUUAAUGAUUAUUUAGUUAUUUUAUUUGGUUUAUUAUUUUAUUGGGGUAAUAUUAAGAUUUAAAUAAUUCUUUUUUUUUAUAACAUUUAUUUUUGAUUAAUUGAUCCAUUAUUAGUGAUUACAAGAUUAAGUUACCUUAGGGAUAACAGCGUAAUUUUUUUAGAGAGUUCUUAUCGAUAAAAAAGUUUGCGACCUCGAUGUUGGAUUAAAAAUUAUUCUAGGUGUAGUAGUUUAGAAUUUUGGUCUGUUCGACCAUUAAAUUUUU
rnacentral:rRNA from 1 species